UCAAACGAUUAUUCGUGUGCAGGACCAAUAAUUAUUCUCUUGUGUCUCUCCUACUUGAGGGAAAGGUGAGGCAAAGUGAAGUCAGCAUAUAUUGAGCAGCUUGGGCGAGUGCGGAUGGAAAACUUGGAAAAUGUCAAUUUUUAAAGCCUCGGUACAAAAAUUCUGGUAUGUCCAAUCACAAAAAUCAUUAGAGCAACACACAAAUGUCUGCAAUGUACAUGAAAACACAACAAGAAUUUCUAAGGCAGAAACAUUGUUGGGUAACAUUUACGCGGAUAAAGGAAUAUCCAUCACAAAAACAAAAGUUUACUUUGCGAUGUUUCCUUCAUGUCAAACGAAUUAUUUUUUGCGUGUACAGUCAGUCCCCAGCGUGUACUAGGGUCCCGCAAUUCGCCUGAGCGACGAACUGUGGGAAAU